CCGCGUCCUCGUCCAGUCUUCCUUCUCCUCUCUCCCAAGAGAGAAUUUCCCCCACCCCCAGCCCCCGGGGAUUAAAACUAAUUUCUUUUCGGGUUUGAGAUGUCGAGCAGCGAGGGCGGUCGUGGGUCGCCGGACUUCUAUCUACCGGACGAGAUAUUAUCGGUCAUUCCCACCGACCCCUACGACCAAUUAGAUCUGGCCCGCAAGAUUACGUCCAUGGCCAUUGCCUCCCGGGUCACCAAGCUGGAGUCUGAACUGGGGAGGCUUCGCCAGAAGCUCUACGACAAGGACCGCCGGGUUGUGGACCUCGAGGAUAAGCUUUCUCAGCUCCAGCACGCUUAUCAGGAGACCGACUUGCGUCUCAAAAUCACUCUCGACGACAAUAUGAAGCUGACAAAGGAGAGGGAUUCCUUGGCCCUAGCCGCCAAGAAGCUGAGCCGUGACUUGGCCAAGUUGGAGACAUUCAAGAGGCAGUUGAUGCAGUCACUUAAUGAUGACAAUUCAUCUCAAGCUGACACUGUUGAUAUUGGGACUUAUGACCAAUCAGUUCCAAAAGCCUGUCCUGCAAAAGAUGAGGAGGUGAAUGGCUACACAACACAACAUUAUUCUUCCUCUGGAACAGAUACUGCAAGCAUUUCUGAUGAUGCCUCGAAACAAAGUGGGUUGAAAUUUUCUAUGACACCGUAUUUAUCUCCACGUCUUACUCCUACUGCAACUCCAAAAAUCGUCUCUGCUAGUGUGUCCCCUGGGAGGUAUUCUGCUGCAGGAUCCCCUCAAAAAACUUCUGGUGCUACCUCUCCAACUAAAAGCCAAUAUGAAGUGCGGGGUUCACUAUCAUCAUGGUACCCAUCAAGCCAGCAGUCAUCAGCAGCAAACUCUCCCCCUCGUGGUCGCCCUAUGCCAGCUCGCACUCCUCGAAUUGAUGGAAAAGAGUUCUUUCGUCAAGCAAGGAGCCGUCUAUCCUAUGAGCAGUUCAGUGCAUUUCUGGCCAACAUAAAGGAACUAAAUGCGCAAAAGCAAUCCCGUGAGGAAACUUUGAGGAAAGCGGAACAGAUUUUUGGUAUGGAUAACAAAGAUCUAUACCUAUCUUUUCAAGGUUUGCUAAAUCGAAACGUACAAUAGAAGGAAUUUUCUGGGAAGUGUUUGCAGAGGAGGUAUAAUUAAGUUCACCAUCCUUCAGUCUGUUUGUUGUAUCACAGUUUGGGGGUCAAGUCUCUGGUAACAGCUGAAUUUCGCCACAAGAUAUUUUUCACUGCACAAAUUUGUGGAAGUGCAAAUGAGCAAGGACUGAACCAGUGAGGAUAUAUAUAUAUAUAUAUAUAUUUCUAGGACUAAUUGCUGAAUCCCAUGCACGGGUGGCAUGUAAUUAACUUCCAUUUUUGCCCCCUUGGUGCCUGGUAGUGAUACGCUGAAAUUAUAUCAGCACUGGCUGUACGUACUAUGGUAUGUAUUGACCCUGGUUCACAUUGGACGGGAUUCUCUCUUUUAUAUGUACGACUGUGAUCCAUUUAGCUGCUCGACUUCAUAACUUGUGUAUUAAGGCAUAUUUGAGGACAAAAACGAGCCUAUGUAUGUAUUAACAAAAAUCUCACUUCUGUUGCUGCUUCUAA